rnacentral:rRNA from 1 species
AGGACGAACGCUGGCGGCGUGCUUAACACAUGCAAGUCGAGCGGAAAGGCCCUUCGGGGUACUCGAGCGGCGAACGGGUGAGUAACACGUGGGCAACCUGCCCUUAGCUCUGGGAUAGCUCCGGGAAACCGGAAUUAAUACCGGAUAUGACCUAGGCCGACAUCGGCCGUGGUAGAAAGUUUUUCGGCUAGGGAUGGACUCGCGGCCUAUCAGCUAGUUGGUGGGGUAAUGGCCUACCAAGGCGACGACGGGUA